GACGAACGCUGGCGGCGGGCUUAACACAUGCAAGUCGAACGGUGAACCUCUUCGGAGGGGAUCAGUGGCGAACGGGUGAGUAACACGUGGGCAACCAGCCCCCGGCUCUGGGAUAACUCCAAGAAAUUGGGGCUAAUACCGGAUGUUCACCGCUUACCGCAUGGGUGGUGGUGGAGAGGGUUUCCGGCUGGGGAUGGGCCCGCGGCCUAGCAGCUGGUUGGUGGGGUAGGGGCGUACCAAGGCGACGACGGGUAGCCGGCCUGAGAGGGUGGCCGGCCACCAUGCGCCUGCGGGAGGGCCCAGAGUCCAACGGGGGGCAGCAGUGGGGAACAUUGCGCAAUGGGCGCACGCCUGAGGAAGCGACGCCGCGUGGGUGAUGACGGCCUUCGGGUUGUGAACCUCUUUCAGCAGGGACGACGCGCAAGUGACGGUACCUGCAGAAGAAGCACCGGCCAACUACGUG
rnacentral:rRNA from 1 species